rnacentral:rRNA from 1 species
GGGGAAUUUUGCGCAAUGGGGGAAACCCUGACGCAGCAACGCCGCGUGCGGGACGAAGGCCCUCGGGUCGUAAACCGCUUUCAGCAGGGAAGACCACGACGGUACCUGCAGAAGAAGCUCCGGCUAACUACGUGCCAGCAGCCGCGGUAAUACGUAGGGGGCGAGCGUUAUCCGGAUUCAUUGGGCGUAAAGCGCGCGUAGGCGGCCGCCUAAGCGGAACCUCUAACCCCGGGGCUCAACCUCGGGCCGGGUUCCGGACUGGGCGGCUCGAGUGCGGUAGAGGAGAGCGGAAUUCCCGGUGUAGCGGUGGAAUGCGCAGAUAUCGGGAAGAACACCGAUGGCGAAGGCAGCUCUCUGGGCCGUCACUGACGCUGAGGCGCGAAAGCUGGGGGAGCGAACAGGAUUAGAUACCCUGGUAGUCCCAGCCGUAAACGAUGGAUACUAGGUGUGGGGGGAUCCCCCCUCCGUGCCGCAGCCAACGCAUUAAGUAUCCCGCCUGGGGAGUACGGCCGCAAGGCUAAAACUCAAAGGAAUUGACGGGGGCCCGCACAAGCAGCGGAGCAUGUGGCUUAAUUCGAAGCAACGCGAAGAACCUUACCAGGGCUUGACAUGCGCCUGAAGCCGCGGAGACGCGGUGGCCGAGAGGAGGGCGCGCAGGUGGUGCAUGGCUGUCGUCAGCUCGUGUCGUGAGAUGUUGGGUUAAGUCCCGCAACGAGCGCAACCCCCGUCCCGUGUUGCCAGCAUUAGGUUGGGGACUCGCGGGAGACUGCCGGCGUCAAGCCGGAGGAAGGUGGGGACGACGUCAAGUCAUCAUGCCCCUUAUGCCCUGGGCUGCACACGUGCUACAAUGGCCGGUACAGAGGGUUGCCACCCCGCGAGGGGGAGCGGAUCCCGGAAAGCCGGCCCCAGUUCGGAUCGCAGGCUGCAACCCGCCUGCGUGAAGCCGGAGUUGCUAGUAAUCGCGGAUCAGCACGCCGCGGUGAAUACGUUCCCGGGCCUUGUACA